rnacentral:rRNA from 1 species
GAUAAACGCUGACAGAAUGCUUAACACAUGCAAGUCUACUUGAAUUUGGGUUUUUAACUUAGAUUUGGGUGGCGGACGGGUGAGUAACGCGUAAAGAACUUGCCUCACAGCUAGGGACAACAUUUAGAAAUGAAUGCUAAUACCUAAUAUUAUGAUAAUAGGGCAUCCUAUAAUUAUGAAAGCUAUAAGCGCUGUGAGAGAGCUUUGCGUCCCAUUAGCUAGUUGGAGAGGUAACGGCUCACCAAGGCGAUGAUGGGUAGCCGGCCUGAGAGGGUGAUCGGCCACAAGGGGACUGAGACACGGCCCUUACUCCUACGGGAGGCAGCAGUGGGGAAUAUUGGACAAUGGACCGAGAGUCUGAUCCAGCAAUUCUGUGUGCACGAUGAAGUUUUUCGGAAUGUAAAGUGCUUUCAGUUGGGAAGAAAGAAAUGACGGUACCAACAGAAGAAGUGACGGCUAAAUACGUGCCAGCAGCCGCGGUAAUACGUAUGUCACGAGCGUUAUCCGGAUUUAUUGGGCGUAAAGCGCGUCUAGGUGGUUAUAUAAGUCUGAUGUGAAAAUGCAGGGCUCAACUCUGUAUUGCGUUGGAAACUGUAUAACUAGAGUACUGGAGAGGUAAGCGGAACUACAAGUGUAGAGGUGAAAUUCGUAGAUAUUUGUAGGAAUGCCGAUGGGGAAGCCAGCUUACUGGACAGAUACUGACGCUGAAGCGCGAAAGCGUGGGUAGCAAACAGG